rnacentral:rRNA from 1 species
AGUGAACGCCGGCGGUAGGCCUAACACAUGCAAGUCGAACGGCAGCACCGUAAGAGCCUGCUCUUACGGGAGGCGAGUGGCGGACGGGUGAGGAAUACAUCGGAAUCUACUCUUUCGUGGGGGCUAACGUAGGGAAACUUACGCUAAUACCGCAUACGACCUACGGGUGAAAGCAGGGGAUCUUCGGACCUUGCGCGAUUGAAUGAGCCGAUGUCGGAUUAGCUAGUUGGCGGGGUAAAGGCCCAGCAAGGCGACGAUCCGUAGCCGGUCUGAGAGGAUGAUCAGCCCCCCUGGAACCUGGCCACCGUCCAGUCUCCUUCGAGAGGCAGCAGUGGGGAAUAUUGGACGAUGGGCGCAAGCCUGAUCCAGCCAUAGCGGACGGGUGAAGAAGGCCUUCGGGUUGUAAAGCCCUUUUGUUGGGAAAGAACAGCAGCAGGUUAAUACCCCGCUGUUCUGACGGUACCCAAAGAAUAGACACCGGCUAACUUCGUG